rnacentral:rRNA from 1 species
UGGGUUUGACAUGUAUUAGAAUAUAGCUGAAAGGUUAUAGUCCUUCGGGACUGGUACACAGAUGCUGCAUGGCUGUCGUCAGCUCGUGUCGUGAGAUGUUCGGUUAAGUCCGGCAACGAGCGCAACCCUCGCCCUAUGUUACUCUUCGGAGGUCUCUUAGGGGACAAACCUGAAUUCAGGUGGGAAGGUGGGGAUGACGUCAAGUCAGUAUGGCUCUUACAUCCAGGGCUGCACACGUGCUACAAUGGCCGGUACAAUGGGUUGCGAGACUGUAAAGUGGAGCUAAUCCCCAAAGCCGGUCCCAGUUCGGAUUGAGGUCUGCAACUCGACCUCAUGAAGCCGGAAUCGCUAGUAAAGGCGUAUCAGCAACGACGCCUUGAAUACGUUCCCGGGUC